GUAGCUAAAUGCGGAAGAGAUAAGUGCUGAAAGCAUCUAAGCACGAAACUUGCCCCAAGAUGAGUUCUCCCUGAGACUUUAAGUCUCCUGAAGGAACGUUGAAGACGACGACGUUGAUAGGCCGGGUGUGUAAGCGCAGCGAUGCGUUGAGCUAACCGGUACUAAUGAACCGUGAGGCUUAACCUU
rnacentral:rRNA from 1 species